rnacentral:rRNA from 1 species
AGAGUUGAUCCUGGCUAGAACGAACGCUGGUAGCGUGGAUUAGGCAUGCAAGUCGAACGGGAGUCCGGGAGGCAGCAAUGUUUCCGGUGAGAGUGGCGGAAGGGCGAGGAACACGUGGGCAACCUGUCCAGGAGGUGGGGAAAACCUCGGGAAACUGAGGCUAAUACCGAAUGUAGCGCCCGCUCGCAUGAGCGGAGCGCCAAAGGGGGCGAAAGCUCCCCCUCCACGAGGGGCCCGCGCACCAUCGGCUAGUUGGCGGGUAACGGCCCACCAAGGCUCACGGUUAGCUGGUCUGAGAGGAUGGCCAGCCGCACUGGGACUGAGAUACUGCCCAGACUCCUACGGGAGGCUGCAGUCGAGGAUCAUUCGCAAUGGGCGAAAGCCUGACGAUGCGACGCUGCGUGGGAAGGAUGAAGGCCUUCGGGUCGUAAACUCCUGUCAUGAGGGAAAAGGAGACCCUGCCCAAUACGCAGGGGAUUUGAUGGUACCUCAAGAGGAAGGGACGGCUAACUCUGUGCCAGCCGCCGC